UUAGAUGGAAAAGAAUUAUCAUCAACGCUAUGGGGGUAGGAGAAUUUUAUCUCAACUAUGGAAAUGACUCAUGUCUAAUCCUUAGAGAAAGAGAGAAAAAAGGGUUUUAAACGGAAAAGUGCAGAAAGGGAACAAAAUGAUUUGAAUGAGUUGAUGUAUUUUUUUAAGUAUUUUGAAAAUUGUUUGAAUAUGCUUACAAUGAGAUAACAUUUAUUAAGAACGAUUUUGAAAAUCACUUGACAAAAG
rnacentral:lncRNA from 1 species